rnacentral:rRNA from 1 species
UACGGAGGGUGCAAGCGUUAUCCGGAUUCACUGGGUUUAAAGGGUGCGUAGGCGGGUAUAUAAGUCAGUGGUGAAAGCUCCAAGCUUAACUUGGAAACUGCCAUUGAUACUGUAUAUCUUGAAUAUCGUAGAGGUUAGCGGAAUGUUGCAUGUAGCGGUGAAAUGCUUAGAUAUGUUACAGAACACCAAUUGCGAAGGCAGCUAACUAUGCGAUGAUUGACGCUGAGGCACGAAAGCGUGGGGAGCAAACAGG